rnacentral:rRNA from 1 species
AUUGAACGCUGGCGGCAGGCUUAACACAUGCAAGUCGAGCGGGGUGAUGGUGCUUGCACUAUCACUUAGCGGCGGACGGGUGAGUAAUGCUUAGGAAUCUGCCUAUUAGUGGGGGACAACAUCUCGAAAGGGAUGCUAAUACCGCAUACGUCCUACGGGAGAAAGCAGGGGAUCACUUGUGACCUUGCGCUAAUAGAUGAGCCUAAGUCGGAUUAGCUAGUUGGUGGGGUAAAGGCCUACCAAGGCGACGAUCUGUAGCGGGUCUGAGAGGAUGAUCCGCCACACUGGGAAUGAGACACGGCCCAGACUCCUACGGGGGGCAGCAGUGGGGAAGAGUGGACAAUGGGGGGCACCCUGAUCCAGCCAUGCCGCGUGUGGGAAGAAGGCCUUAUGGUUGUAAAGCACUUUAAGCGAGGAGGAGGCUCUUUUGGUUAAUACCCAAGAUGAGUGGACGUUACUCGCAGAAUAAGCACCGGCUAACUCUGUGCCAGCCGCCGCUGUAA